UCAGUUUGAUCAUGGCUCAGAUUGAACGCUGGCGGCAGGCCUUACACAUGCAAGUCGAGCGAGAAAGGUCUUCGGACUGAGUACAGCGGCGGACGGGUGAGUAACGCGUAGGAAUCUACCCAGUAGUGGGGGACAACUUGGGGAAACCCAAGCUAAUACCGCAUACGCCCUAUGGGGGAAAGCAGGGGAUCUUCGGACCUUGCGCUAUUGGAUGAGCCUGCGUCGGAUUAGCUAGUUGGUGGGGUAAUGGCCCACCAAGGCGACGAUCCGUAGCUGGUCUGAGAGGAUGAUCAGCCACACUGGAACUGAGACACGGUCCAGACUCCUACGGGAGGCAGCAGUGGGGAAUUUUGCGCAAUGGGGGAAACCCUGACGCAGCGACGCCGCGUGUGUGAAGAAGGCCUGCGGGUUGUAAAGCACUUUCAGCAGUGAAGAAAUGCUUGGGGUUAAUAACUCCGGGUCUUGACGUAACCUACAGAAGAAGCACCGGCUAACUCCGUGCCAGCAGCCGCGGUAAUACGGAGGGUGCGAGCGUUAAUCGGAAUUACUGGGCGUAAAGCGCGCGUAGGCGGCUAGGUCAGUCGGAUGUGAAAGCCCCGGGCUUAACCUGGGAAUUGCAUUCGAAACUGCCUGGCUAGAGUAUGGGAGAGGGAAGUGGAAUUUCCGGUGUAGCGGUGAAAUGCGUAGAUAUCGGAAGGAACACCAGUGGCGAAGGCGGCUUCCUGGCCCAAUACUGACGCUCAGGUGCGAAAGCGUGGGUAGCGAACAGGAUUAGAUACCCUGGUAGUCCACGCCGUAAACGAUGAGAACUAGAUGUCGGGAGGAUUGACCUUUCGGUGUCGCAGCUAACGCAUUAAGUUCUCCGCCUGGGGAGUACGCCGGCAACGGUAAAACUCAAAGGAAUUGACGGGGACCCGCACAAGCGGUGGAGCAUGUGGUUUAAUUCGAUGCAACGCGAAGAACCUUACCUGGUCUUGACAUCCUCGGAACUUUCCAGAGAUGGAUUGGUGCCUUCGGGAAUCGAGUGACAGGUGCUGCAUGGCUGUCGUCAGCUCGUGUCGUGAGAUGUUGGGUUAAGUCCCGCAACGAGCGCAACCCUCGCCCUUAGUUGCCAGCAUUCAGUUGGGCACUCUAGGGGAACUGCCGGUGAUAAGCCGGAGGAAGGUGGGGAUGACGUCAAGUCCUCAUGGCCCUUACGGGAUGGGCUACACACGUGCUACAAUGGCGGUGACAGUGGGUUAAUCCCCAAAAACCGUCUCAGUUCGGAUUGUCGCCUGCAACUCGGCGGCAUGAAGUUGGAAUCGCUAGUAAUCGCGUAACAGCAUGACGCGGUGAAUACGUUCCCGGGCCUUGUACACACCGCCCGUCACACCAUGGGAGUUGGGUUUACCCGAAGACGGUCAGCUAACCCUUCGGGGGGGCAGCCGACCACGGUAAGGUCAGCGACUGGGGUGAAGUCGUAACAAGGUAACC
rnacentral:rRNA from 1 species